rnacentral:rRNA from 1 species
AACGAACGCUGGCGGCGUGGAUAAGACAUGCAAGUCGAACGGGAUUUUUUUCUGUAGCAAUACAGGAAAAAGUCUAGUGGCGAACGGGUGCGUAACACGUGAGCAACCUGCCGUGAAGUGGGGGAUAGCUCGCCGAAAGGCGAAUUAAUACCGCAUGUGGCCAAGGAAGACAUCUUCCUGACGCCAAAGCCGGGGCAACCUGGCGCUUCUCGAGGGGCUCGCGGCCUAUCAGCUUGUUGGUGAGGUAACGGCUCACCAAGGCUAUGACGGGUAGCGGGACUGGGAGGACAACCAGCCACACUGAAACUGAGACACGGUCCAGACACCUACGGGUGGCAGCAGUCGAGAAUUUUUCACAAUGGGGGAAACCCUGAUGGAGCGACGCCGCGUGGAGGAUGAAGGUUUUCGGAUUGUAAACUCCUGUCAUUAGAGAACAAGGCACACGGUUUAACUGACCGUGUGUUGAUAGUAUCUGAAGAGGAAGAGACGGCUAACUCUGUGCCAGCAGCCGCCGUAA